UGGGGGUUAGUUCAGUGGUAAAACAUUUGCCUUGUGUGUGAAAAACCCUGGAUUCAAUCCAAUCCCUAG
rnacentral:tRNA from 1 species